rnacentral:lncRNA from 1 species
CCUCAUUUUCCUCAUCUAUGAAAUAAGGCAUUUGUAAUACUGACUCACAUUGUUAGGGAAGGAAGCCUUUGUAAGUUAAAACGUGAGCUCUUUAUUUCGGUGCUUAGAGAAUCUUGACUUAGCAGCUAGCACUCUCCUUGUCUGCCAUUGCAGGAAUGCUCUCAGGAGUGAACUUGGUUGAUGAGCAGCUCCCAACAGGAUAUUGUUUCAGAAAUCUGAGAUCCAGCCGAGUGCUCAGAGCCCUGCAGAUGAAGAAGCUGGGUCUCAGAGAGGCGGCUUGCCAGAUCCAUAUUAGGGGAAUCUCUUCAGUUUGCCGUGACAGCUGUCAUUGACAGAUUUGAUCCCUAUUUGCUCUUCUGCCCCAUCAUCUUCCGGGCUUCACAAGUCUCUUGCUUUGAGAGAUCCAAAUGGUUCCUGCUUGCUGGAUGAAGUUGCAUGCAGAGCAGGAAGGAAUACUAUUGAUAUACCUAUCUAGAGUUAGCCUUUGCCUGAUCAGACGCGCUGCCAAUCCUGGCCACUCCUGGUCAGCUAAGUCCCAUUUCUACCUCGGCCACAUUGGAAUGGAGCUCUGCAGGCAGACUCCUUGAAGAUGCUUGGGGAUGGCUUGUGUUCUCAUCUCUCCUCAACAUUCCCACUCUGCCUGUAGUUCUUGCAGUAGGCUGCCAAGUUGGUCCACCUGGGUCUUGGAACUGAGAUAUCACAUUUCCCACGUCUCAUGCCUUCCCUCCACCGGCCCUGCAUUAUUGAUGAUGACUCUGAGCCUCCCCAGCCUUCAUUUCCACAGAGGGUCAGGCUUCUCUCAUACCUAUUUGGUCUGAAGAAUCAGAGCAUUUUUCAAGACACCAGCCCGGGACAGUUUCUUAAACCAACUAUGAGACUACAAAUGGUUUUGCUUUUGCCUUAAUAGAAGACAGUGGAAUGUCCGUUCUUGUGUAUUUAAAAAAAAAUAAAGGAGAGAUUCCCCAGAGUGCUCUGUGUUAU